rnacentral:lncRNA from 1 species
CCCCGCCGGAGUCGCCCGGGAAGGGGGUCCGGGGAAGGCGGGAGCACGCCCGCGAGCCGAGGGCCCCUCGGCCUCACUGCAGCUGCUGGCCGCCCCGGAGCCGCGCUGCCGCACGCAUGGCCCGCCGCGGGGCCGAGUUCUGGUCCCCGCCUUUCCUCGCCUCUGGCUCCUCGGCGCUAUUGUCCAGGCCCGGGGAGCCCUGCCGCCCCAAUCGGGGCGCGCAGCGCUUCGCAGCUUCCCGCCCCGCCGCGCUAGGAACUCGGGGCGCCGGUCACUGCCCUGCUCCCGCCUCCGCCAUGAUCUCAGCCAAGCCGCUUCCCGCGCCGCCGCCGCCUCCUCAAGCUGCCGCCGCCAUGUUUUCCUUCCUUAUACCUGGCCCUGCCACCGCAGCCGGACGUUGUGCUCCUCUCGUCUGCUUCAAAUGUCCGAAGCUGACGGGCGCCAGGUCCCGCUGCAACUUCUACCACUGCGCGGAAGACUCCUAGAGCCCCCAAGCGCACGAGCGCUUCUGGCUACUGGGAGUCCCUGUCCCUCCGCCGCCGCCGCCGCCGCCUCUUCCGUCUUCCUCACCGAGCCAAAGCCGCCGCCAUCUUGGUUCGCCCCUCAAUAGUGGCGCGCGCGGGGCCACCCAGGCAGCGGCUGCAGGGGCGGCCCGUUGGCCCCACCAUUUAAAGAGGCAGGAACGAAGCUGUGAGUCUCGCAGCGGCGGAGGCCUCGGAUGGAGGUGGGAGGCGGGCCCCGGGUUGCCGAGGUGGCGGGAGCGCAGGGAGCGGAGGAGGCGGAACGCUGGUCGCGCCGGUGACGAGCCGGGUCUCCCUCGCGCUCCUCGCACGCACCGUCGUGCGAGCGCAGGGCAGGUGUGCGUCCGUCGCGCCCUGUGUUCGUCAUCAGCCCGCUCCGGAUUCGAAGGGCGUGGAUCCCGCCUCUGGCUCCUGCGGGUUGCGAGGCUUUUGCCCGCGGGGUGCUCUGGGUCUGGGGUUCUGGAGCCCGCAGUUGUCUUCACAGGUGGCUCGCGGUCCAGACGCCGAUCCCGGCGGGCAUCAGGCGGCUUGGGCCUGGGGUCCUCCGCGCCCGCCCGCCUCCGCGAGUAUCCUGUCCGAGCCAAAGCCGCCGCCAUCUUGGUUCGCCCCUCAAUAGUGGCGCGCGCGGGGCCACCCAGGCAGCGGCUGCAGGGGCGGCCCGUUGGCCCCACCAUUUAAAGAGGCAGGAACGAAGCUGUGAGUCUCGCAGCGGCGGAGGCCUCGGAUGGAGGUGGGAGGCGGGCCCCGGGUUGCCGAGGUGGCGGGAGCGCAGGGAGCGGAGGAGGCGGAACGCUGGUCGCGCCGGUGACGAGCCGGGUCUCCCUCGCGCUCCUCGCACGCACCGUCGUGCGAGCGCAGGGCGGGUGUGCGUCCGUCGCGCCCUGUGUUCGUCAUCAGCCCCGCUCCGGAUUCGAAAGGGCGUGGAUCCCGCCUCUGGCUCCUGCGGGUUGCGAGGCUUUUUGCCCGCGGGGUGCUCUGGGUCUGGGGUUCUGGAGCCCGCAGUUGUCUUCACAGGUGGCUCGCGGUCCAGACGCCGAUCCCGGCGGGCAUCAGGCGGCUUGGGCCUGGGGUCCUCCCGCGCCCGCCCGCCUCCGCGAGUAUCCUGUCCGAGCCGCCUUUGGGGCUGGACUGGGCACCCGGCGCGCAGAGAAAGUAUUGAUGGAAAAACACACACACACAAGAAGUAG